rnacentral:rRNA from 1 species
AGAAUCAACGCUGGCGGCGUGCCUAACACAUGCAAGUCGAACGAGAAAGGGUAGCAAUACCUGAGUAAAGUGGCGCACGGGUGAGUAACACGUGACUAACCUACCCUGGAGUGGGGGGAUAACUGAGAGAAAUCUUAGCUAAUACCGCAUAACACCUACGGGUCAAAGGAGCAAUUCGCUUCAGGAGGGGGUCGCGGCAGAUUAGAUAGUUGGCGGGGUAAUGGCCCAUCAAGUCAGUGAUCUGUAUCCGGCCUGAGAGGGCGCACGGACACACUGGAACUGAAACACGGUCCAGACUCCUACGGGAGGCAGCAGUGGGGAAUUUUGCGCAAUGGGGGAAACCCUGACGCAGCAACGCCGCGUGGAGGAUGAAGUACUUCGGUACGUAAACUCCUUUCGAUCGGGACGAUUAUGACGGUACCGGAAGAAGAAGCCCCGGCUAACUUCGUGCCAGCAGCCGC